GGGUGUGUUUAGAAACUGGUGGCUUGAAGUCCUCUGGUGGUGCUUGGGGGUCCUGUGAUGCCAGGCUCUGUUGGGGUAAUCCUAGCUGCUUGACAUUUCUGAAAAAUGAAUGAACUGGGCUGAGGAGAAAGCUCCGUAGGUAAAGCACUGGAUACACAGCAAGAGAAGCUGUCUGGAUCCCCAGGAUGCGUGAGUUGACAGCCGGCCGGCGGCCCAGGACUGUGGCCCCAGGGCUCCUACAGCGAGACGAGAGGCGGAGACAAGUAGCCUGGCAUUCACAGCAGAGGGUAAGAAAGAGACGCUGUCUCAUACAAGGUGAGGACCACUACCGGAGGCUGUCCUCUGACUGCCCAUGUGUGCUAUGGCGUGCACACGCUCAUAUCACAGAUGUAUAGAUUAAGUCAGCCAAUGGAAGCAUGUGCAUGCUUGUGUCUGUGGAGGCCAGAACUCAGCGCUGGGUAUCGUUCCUCAGGCAUUGUUCACACUGCUUUGUCUGCUUGAUUGGUUGCUGCUUCAGAUUUAUUUUAUUUUACAUUGUGAGUGUUUUGCCAGCUUGUGUACAGAAGGCAUCAGAUCCUCUGAAACUGGAAUUACAGGUGGCUGUGAACCACUAUACGGGUGCUGGGAACCAAACUUGCAUACUCUUAAAAAAAAAUAAAUAAAACAAACAAAGCAACUGCUAUUAACCACUGAGUGAUUCUCCCAACCCUUCUCUGUCUCUCUAGCCCCACACCUUGUUUAUCGAGAUGGGAUCUCUCACCACGUGGAGCUCAUCAGAUAGGCUGGUUGGCCGGUGAAUCGCAGCGAGCUUCCUUUCACAGCUCUACUGCCUCCCCAGUGCGGGGACGCCAGCACACGGCUCUUUAUAUAAGCUCUAGGGGCCUGCGUCCUGUGAGUACUAGGCUGAGGUUCUAUGCGGAGGAGCCGAGCCAAGGGUGGAGGCCAUGCGCUGCUAGGAGAGCUCUCCAGAGCUCCGCUGACCCUCUGCUCCAACUGCUCCUGCCCGGAAAGAAGGGUUGUUGGCCAUCACACAGCUUUCUCUUCCUUCUGUCUGGUGCUGGGUUGGUCCUGCCAGGGAGCAGAAUUUGGUGACAGCUUUUGGGUCUGGUUUGCCAGCAAGGACGUUUGGCUGGGUGUAGGGUUUCCAUGGCGCGGACGGCCCACAGCCUUGCAUUUCUUCUGGGUUUUGGUGAUCUCGCCGCAUUGCCCAAAUGGCCUUCAGCAUGGGACGGUCCUACAAGUGAGGAGCUGUGUGUGCCACACUGAGAAUGGCGACUUCGUGGGUGCUCAGCCUUUGCAGUGAUUCUAGGUCAUCUUCAUCUCCAUGCAAGGAGACAGCGAGCCCCUCGUGGCCUCCAGGCAUUCACAGUCUCAAGCAGGUAAGGCUCGCAUGCAUGGUUCAUUGGCCUGUCUCAUUCAUACCAACCAGGCUUCUUGGAAAUGGAUCUGAAAAAUCCACCCUGGAGCCAUUAAGUGAGGGAUGAGAGGAAGGCUGGAGGACCCAGCUUAGGGUGUAAGAGACUCAGGAAGGUGAAAAUCCCCUCGGCACCAUUGGUCACAGCUGUGUCUGCUGAACCAUCUCUGCAUCCAGACCACCAUUCUCAAUCCACAGCUCAUGGCCGUUGCUUGAUUGGCAUUCACUGGGUAGACCAUUUAUGAGAAGCCCCAUUGGUUCCUGAGUGGAAGGAAAGAUGAAACCCCCUGCCUUCGUGAAGCUGACAUCCUGUGGUAUCCCCACCCCAGGGCCAUGAAAGCUUGGGUUUCUCUUGUUCUGGCUGCUUCAUGGCUCAAAGUGAUGUCCUUCGUUCAAAAAUAAAGACAGUGACACUGGGCUAUAAAAAAACAAACAAAACAAAAACAACAACAACAACAAAAAACCCAGCUUCCCUGGCAGAGUCUAGAAAAGGAAUAGAGAGGGACUGGAGAGGUAACUUAGUAGGUAAGAGCCAAGCAUAAGAAUCCGAGUCUGGAUCCAAGCACCCACAUAAAAGCUGGGUGUCAUAGCACACACCUGCAACCCCAGGGCCGUGGGAGGCAGAAUCGGGGUUGCUCGGGCUUUUCUGGCUGUCAUCUUCGCUCCGGGUUCAUAGAGACCGUGUCUUAAUGGAACACAGUGGAGACCUGGUAAGAUCAGGACACUCACCAUUGUCCUCUGGCCUCCACAGCCGUGUAACAGGCACACGGACGCACACAUGCAACACUAUGUAUGUACAAAUGUAGAAGGGAUGAGGGGAUCUCUCAGGUGGGAUGGUCCUUCUUUCAGGCAGGGUAGCAAUGGUUGGGGACAUUGUUAGAAACUCAAGGAGGCCGGCAUCUUUAGGAAUAAUCCUAUCUGAAGGGACCUUCAGAGUGUCCUUUCCUUUGGAUGUGGUGAAAAACUAUUUGGGGAAAAGAUACCAAGUGAGCCCAGAAGUAUUCGUGUCUACCGUCUUGUUUCCUUGAGCCAUGACUUUAAACUGAGCGUGCUCAGUGAUGCCCAUCUUAAAACGAGCAUGCUCCAGAGUGAGCCUGCCCAGAGAACUUUCCAUGGAGAAUGUAUGGACUCUCCAGAUAAAACCUGUUCCUCCCUCACUCCCUUGUUACUGGGGGGCUUCGGAAAUCACUCCCACGGCCUUCUUCCUUACCUGUGAUAUUAAAUCUUUGUCCUCUCUCUUAGUUUUUGGUCAUUUUUUUUCUGACCACUCUUUCCACUGUGCUCCGUCCCAGCAUGGAGCAGCCAUGUGUCCAGAGUAGGAAAGGUAUGUCCCAGGGCUCCAGGAGAAUACUGUGUUAGAAGAACAUCCCACACUACAAACUGCCGAAAAGACCUAGGAAAACACACGCACCCUUGGAGAACUGGGAAGAAGUGUUUCAUCCGUGGCUGCUUGGCGUCAUGGUUUUGGAAGAGGAAAUUUAAGGAGAUACAAAUGGCUGUUCAUGUGUUUGUCCCUCCAUCCAGAGUAUCAGGGACAAGCCUCACCAGUCACAGAGGUGACUAGCCCUGCACUGAGGGAUGGCAGCAAAGCUCUAGCCACCCAGAGCUGAAACCAGUGCGGCCGCAAGAGCAAGGCAAAGGGCACCGCCAGGAGAAGGGAGGUUUCGCCACAUCAUUGCGUCGUUCUGCUCUUCUGCAACGUGGAGAACGGCGAUCUACAGAGUUAAACGCAAGUGGUUGCGGACGGCUGUUCUAAUUUCCUUCCAUUGCCGCGCUAAAACCCCAAGCAAGAGCAACUCGGGGAGGAAAGAGUUUAUUUCAGCUUAUACUUCAUCACUGAUGAAAGUCAGGGCAAGGACUCAAGCAGGAACUGAAGCAAAAGCCGUGGAGAAACACCGCGUGCUGGUUCCAGUCCAGGCCCCGGCUUAGCCAGCUGUCUCCGUCCAACCCAGGACUACCUGCCUGGAGAGCAGGCUGCCCACAAAGGGCUGGGCCUCUCAGAUCAAUUAGACAUGGCCGCAGGCCAAUCUGAUCCAGGCAGUUUCUCAAAGGUCUGUCUUCUCGGAUGACUCUAGGUUGUGACAAGUUGACCGGGCUAACAGGAUGGUGGGGAACUGGAAUGAGGACAGAGAAGGGCAGAAGACACGGGGAGACAGACUGGGUGCGCACAGGGACACAGAUUGUGCUACCUUGGAAGCCACCCUUGACCUUGGCCAUCUGCCUCCAAGAAGACCCUUCAGUCGCCAGCAGGACAAAGUGAGAGGGAAGGACCUGACUCACACAAACCCAUCAACCCCAUGAGAAAGACGACCCAGAAUGUGACCCAUGAUAAUGCACCAGCAUCUUCAAUUCUGCAGGUGGAGAGUCAGAGCCCCGAAGAGUCAGCAAAGAAGCUAUGGAUUCUUCAUUUUCCGAGCUUCAGAUUUCUCUUCCAGACAGCUUUCCUGCCUCUGCAUCCGUGAAGGCAUCAUCUCUUUGGAGAUGGAAGUCUCUGAAUCCUUGGAAUAAAUGCUCAAGCAUCAGUGGGGAAAAUCGUGUCAUCUGGCUUUUCUGAGGGGCUCACUCCCAGAGCAUGCUCCGAUGGGUGGGGACUCCCUCUCUCUCCCCUCUCCAGCUUUGAGGACACCUAUGCUUGGCCCAUGACAGAGCCUGCAAGGGCCCACGUGAGGAAUGGGUCUCUGCAAAACAAGUGUUUGGAUGCCUGAGUCACCUGGGAAUUUAUCUACUGCUUCCAGCAAGCCUUUGUUAUGCGUUGAGCAAUGUAUGCCAUCUGCCUGGCCGACGGCUAGCAAGCCACAUAGUCUGUCUUCAUGUCCCUACAGUCUCGUGAGUUGGUCAAAGCUGCGAGACUGAAUCAGUCACAACUCACAACAGUGCUAUCAAAACCUCAAAGCAACAUGGUUCAGCAGGGCGUGACAGUUCACACCUUCAAUCCUGUCGCUCAGGAGGGGGAGGCAAGAAGAUCACCCUGUGUGAAAAGCCAGCCUGGUGUACGUUCAAGUUUCAGGCUAGCUAGGACUAUAGAGCAAGAUUUUGUCCUUCUGUCUCCGCCCUUCCCAACAAUACGGUUCGGAUAAGAUGGGAUUUUAUUGUUCCUUCACACAAAGUGGAGAGUGAGCAGCGGAGACGGGCGCGCCUUCCCUGUUCUGGCUCUGACGGCCUGAGUGUAUGAUCUCCAUUCAGUUAGCCCAUGCUCCUUCACUACCAUCCACAGCCUAGCACGGAAAGGAGAAAAGCAGAUAGGAUACAUGUCUGUUUGACUGGAUUCAGAAACACUUGGGUUUGCUUAACUUGCCGUUCCCGAGACACCUGUGUCUCAGGACUGAUACCAAUGCGGCCCAGUUCAUUGGUAGAUGAAGACAACAUGUCACCAUGGCAAGGGGUUGGGCACCGCUGGGCCCUAGGGCAAUAUUGAGGCCCAUCUUUGAAUGUAUCUGUGAGUUUGCUUCCAGAGAAGAUUAAAUGAGGGGGAAGACCCACCCCGAGUGUGAACAGCACUGUCCCAUGGGCUGAGGGCUCAGACUGAAUAAAGAAGGCCUGUGGUUUCCUCACCAUCACGGACCGUACGUACCCUUGUACCGUGAGCCAAACAAAUCUUCCCUCCUUUAAAUUGCAUACUGCUGGGUAUUUCAACCACGACAUAAAAAAAGAAAACUAAUACAGAGGGAAAGAAAGGUGUGGUUUGUAUAACAGUUUCUGACUUGAAACUGUCACUCAUGAGAUCCAGGAAGACCUUCCUAAGAUCAUAGAAGCAACGAACCACUGCCGGGGGAGGGGAUUCUGAUCAUCAAGGCUGCCUGAAGAAGAUUCUCCAAUCUCAGAGCUGCCUGCAAAUCUCUCAGAGAGGCCCAAGGUUUAAGCAUUUGUGAGUCACAAAUCAUGAGUCAAAUCACCCCUGCUGGGGUGGGCUUUCAUUGGGACAGCUGCUUUCAAGUCAGACAUGCUCCCGAAAGUCACCCUCCACACACACCCCUGCUAGUGAGCCCAGUAAACUCACCGGUCCAACAAGUGGAAUUUGGUAUAAUUGUUACUUUGUUCUCUCACCAAUUGUGUGUGUGUGUGUGUGUGUGUGUGUGCGCGCGCGCGCGCGUGUACCCGCACACAUGGUCUCUGCAGGGAAGGUCUUGCUCAACACAUAGCUUCACCUCCAUACAACCCAUAACCCCACCUCUUGGAAGCCAUGCUGUUUCUUAUGACCUGCCGAAACAUAGGAAAAGGAUUUUCCUGAGGGAGCCUUGCUGUCCUUUAAACAUCGUGGAUGAAGGUGGUAUGAUGGGGAGAAUGAGGGAGGAGGCAUCUCCAGUGAAGUGAGGGUGUCGCCAAAGCUCUAGCUCAAGCUGAACAGAUGGGGAAGAGCCACAAAUGCACAGGGGCAGGAGGUGAGGAAGGAGGAAUGGCGUCAAAGCAGACUGCAAUGCUGACCGUGGGGCCAGUGCGAGUGUGUUGCCCUUGGAAGGGAGGAAGGGGACAGGACAGGACUCAGAGGCAGACCAAACUCGAUGAGCUCUUAAGGGCCUGUGUUCCAGGACGGUCCAAACUCAAAGUUCUAACAGGAUGUCUGGUGUUGCCUCUCUCAUCGCCUUGCCCACCGUUCUCACAGCUGUGUUGGUGCUGAUGCUGACGGAGGAGCAGAUGCUUCUCACCAGAGCAGCCCUGGAUCCCCUUAGCGUCCUCCACUAAAGGAGCUCCCGAGGAAAGCACUUACAUGGAGCAUUUACAAGGAACAUUCAUAGGGAACACUCACAGAGGACCAUUCAUGGAGAGUACACACGGGGAGGACUCAUGGGGAGCACCCAUGGAGCCCUUGAGGGGAGAACUUACAGAGAGGACUUAUGAAGGAGCUCAGAUGAGGAGGACUCAUGGGGCAAACUGGCCUGGACCACCCGUAGGGAGCACUCUUGGAGGGACACCCACAAGCAUCCCUCACUGGCAGCAGCACCAGAGUGAUCAAAGGUACCAACAUGGCUUAGAGAAACCACUACGCUAUGCUACUACAUGGAUGCUUUGGACAAGGCCAUUCCUUAAAAUUCUCAUCCUGAAAUCCUAGGUCCCGUGGAGCUAAGUUAGAUCUCAGCCCCGGAGUUCCGCCAGGACAUUCAACCCAGACAUUACUCUGAAACGCCUCAUCCUCCUUUCUCUUGUCCCCUCCCUCUCAUCGCCUUUCUCUGGCUCUCCUAACUUCCAUCUCUCUCUCUCCAUGCCUGCAUGCCCCUCCCUCCUCCUGUCUCCUCUGCAUGCUCCCAAGCCGCCUCCUAAGCACCUCUGAUUUAAGAGCCCAGUCUUCCGGUUUCUUUCCUGUGCACAUGCCCAUCCCUGCUCUGAGGCUGGCCAGCACGGCCUCCCUCUGGGUGCCCCCUUUUCUUCAGACUUUCAGGAGUGCACUGGACCAUCUGCUUGGCCUGUCAGGUAGAAUGUGUAUGAAGGAGUCCAUGUCCAGCCCCUUAGUCUGCGCAUCCCUGGGAUGGGCAGCUCCGUUUUCCCACUGGCGGCAGACAUUGCUUUCCAACGCCCAACCUUGAUCUGUUGGCAAAUAUUAUUGACUGUAUCUGCAAAAGAGAUCCACACUUGACCCUGCUUCCACCCUGACCAGAGCCAACUUCUGCUUUCCCUGAAUUGUUUCUCCAGUUCUGGGAUCCACGUCCCUGCUGCCAUCACAUGCACUCCCCUCAGCCAUGCAGCCAGGGGACGCUGCUAACGCUGGAAAAAUGUCACAUCUCCAAGUAAGAGAUGGCUGCCACCUCCGCCGGAGGAAGACCAAGGGCUCAGGAUGGCUUCUGUCUUAAUCCCUGUCCUGUUGCUAGGGAGAGACAUCAUGACCAAGGCAACACUUAGAAAGAAAAGCAUUUGAUUGGG